CAGCCGCCACGGGAAUACGAACCGUGCGAACGUUAUUCGGAAUCACUGGGCUUAAAGCGCGUGUAGGCGGAUGGGAGCGUCGGCCUCUGAAGUCCCCCGGCUCAACCGGGGAAGUGGAGCCGAAACGACCCGUCUGGAGGGACGUAGGGGGACCUGGAACUUCCGGUGGAGCGGUGAAAUGCGUUGAGAUCGGAAGGAACGCCCGUGGCGAAAGCGAGGUCCUGGACGUCUGCUGACGCUGAGACGCGAAAGCCAGGGGAGCGAACGGGAUUAGAUACCCCCGUAGUCCCUGUCUCUUAUA
rnacentral:rRNA from 1 species